GAUGAACGCUGGCGGCGUGCCUAAUACAUGCAAGUCGAGCGAACGGACGAGAAGCUUGCUUCGCUGAUGUUAGCGGCGGACGGGUGAGUAACACGUGGAUAACCUACCUAUAAGACUGGGAUAACUUCGGGAAACCGUAGCUAAUACCGGAUAAUAUUUUGAACCGCAUGGUUCAAAAGUGAAAGACGGUCUUGCUGUCACUUAUAGAUGGAUCCGCGCUGCAUUAGCUAGUUGGUAAGGUAACGGCUUACCAAGGCAACGAUGCAUAGCCGACCUGAGAGGGUGAUCGGCCACACUGGAACUGAGACACGGUCCAGACUCCUACGGGAGGCAGCAGUAGGGAAUCUUCCGCAAUGGGCGAAAGCCUGACGGAGCAACGCCGCGUGAGUGAUGAAGGUCUUCGGAUCGUAAAACUCUGUUCUUAGGGAAGAACAUAUGUGUAAGUAACUGUGCACAUCUUGACGGUACCUAAUCAGAAAGCCACGGCUAACUACGUG
rnacentral:rRNA from 1 species